rnacentral:rRNA from 1 species
GACGAACGCUGGCGGCGCGCCUAACACAUGCAAGUCGAGCGAUAACCAGGGGCUUGCCCCUGGGGACAGCGGCGAACGGGUGCGUAACACGUGAGCAACCUGCCCCAAAGACCGGGACAACCCGAGGAAACUCGGACUAAUACCGGAUGCCCUCACCGGAUCGCAUGGUCUGGUGAGGAAAUGGAUUCCGCUUUGGGAUGGGCUCGCGGUCUAUCAGCUUGUUGGUGGGGUAACGGCCUACCAAGGCGACGACGGAUAGCUGGUCUGAGAGGACGAUCAGCCACACUGGGACUGAGACACGGCCCAGACUCCUACGGGAGGCAGCAGUGGGGAAUCUUGCGCAAUGGGGGAAACCCUGACGCAGCGACGCCGCGUGCGGGAUGAAGGCCUUCGGGUUGUAAACCGCUUUCAGCAGGGACGAAAUUGACGGUACCUGCAGAAGAAGGCCCGGCCAACUACGUGCCAGCAGCCGCGGUAAUACGUAGGGGCCUAGCGUUGUCCGGAAUUAUUGGGCGUAAAGAGCUCGUAGGCGGUUCGGCAAGUCGGAUGUGAAAUCUCCACGCUUAACGUGGAGGGGCCAUUCGAAACCGCUGUGACUCGAGUCCGGUAGGGGAGUGUGGAAUUCCCGGUGUAGCGGUGAAAUGCGCAGAUAUCGGGAGGAACACCAGUAGCGAAGGCGGCACUCUGGGCCGGUACUGACGCUGAGGAGCGAAAGCGUGGGGAGCGAACAGGAUUAGAUACCCUGGUAGUCCACGCCGUAAACGUUGGGCACUAGGUGUGGGACUCUAUCGACGGGUUCCGUGCCGUAGCUAACGCAUUAAGUGCCCGCCUGGGGAGUACGGCCGCAGGCUAAACUCAAAGGAAUUGACGGGGGCCCGCACAGCGGCGGAGCGUGUGGCUUAAUUCGAUGCACGCGAAGAACUUACUGGGCUUGACUGUACGGUAAA